GGUGAUUCAUCACACACUUAAGAGAAGACCAGCCUCAUUUCCGCCCCAGCUUGAGGGGAAAUGAGCGCUCUGUUCUGUGGCAACAGGUCUGCGAGAGGGAGGGGCCCCACAGCCACAGCUCUGGCCCAGAUGAGCCCACCCGUACCAGAUGAGCCGAGGCUGGCUUGAACUAUGUCCUGCUGCCUCCUUGCCCUUCUCCUGGGCACUUUCUUAGGUGUCAGCGCUCAGACCAUCCACCAAUGGCCACCUGUCAGGGUGCGGCUUGUGGGCAGCCCGCUCUCCCUGGAGUGCAUCGUGAAGGGGGAAUCAAACCCUUAUCUAUAUUGGUACCGGCAGGCCGAGGGAGGGCCCCCCCAGCUGCUCUUCUACUCCCUAAAUAUUCACCAGGUAGACCCUGAGGCACCACGGAACUUCACAGCCUCUAGGCCCCAGGACGGCCAGUUCAUCUUGAGUUCUCAGAAGCUCCUCCUCAGUGACUCUGGCUUCUACCUCUGCGCCUGGAGUCUCACACUGAGCCCGGCGAGGUAGACAUCUGUGCAAAAA